GCUAAUACCGCAUAACGUCGCAAGACCAAAGUGGGGGACCUUCGGGCCUCACGCCAUCGGAUGAACCCAGAUGGGAUUAGCUAGUAGGUGAGGUAACGGCUCACCUAGGCGACGAUCCCUAGCUGGUCUGAGAGGAUGACCAGCCACACUGGAACUGAGACACGGUCCAGACUCCUACGGGAGGCAGCAGUGGGGAAUAUUGCACAAUGGGGGAAACCCUGAUGCAGCCAUGCCGCGUGUGUGAAGAAGGCCUUCGGGUUGUAAAGCACUUUCAGCGGGGAGGAAGGCGACAAGGUUAAUAACCUUGUCCAUUGACGUUACCCGCAGAAGAAGCACCGGCUAACUCCGUGCCAGCAGCCGCGGUAAUACGGAGGGUGCAAGCGUUAAUCGGAAUGACUGGGCGUAAAGCGCACGCAGGCGGUCUGUUAAGUUGGAUGUGAAAUCCCCGGGUUAACCUGGGA
rnacentral:rRNA from 1 species